rnacentral:tRNA from 1 species
AGUGUCGAGUAAAUGUCGACGCGACAUAGAUGCAACAAAAAGCGCUCGAACGUCAGAAACACUAUAGAAAAAUCGGAAUCAUAAUCCGCGUGUCGGGGGUUCAAGUCCCUCCUCCGCUACCA